UACGUAGGGUGCGAGCGUUAAUCGGAAUUACUGGGCGUAAAGGGUGUGUAGGCGGUUGUUUAAGUUUGGUGUGAAAUCUCCCGGCUCAACCGGGAGGGUGCGCCGAAUACUGAAUGACUAGAGUGUGGGAGAGGUGAGUGGAAUUCCUGGUGUAGCGGUGAAAUGCGUAGAUAUCAGGAGGAACACCGGUGGUGUAGACGGCUCACUGGACCAUAACUGACGCUGAGACACGAAAGCGUGGGUAGCAAACAGG
rnacentral:rRNA from 1 species